GACAGAGGCCUCAAGCGUUAGGCGGAAUCACUGGGCUUAAAGCGUGUGUAGGCGGACUUCUAAGUACCUUGUGAAAUCCCACGGCUCAACCGUGGAACUGCUUGGUAUACUGGUUGUCUUGGGCCAUCUAGGGGCUAGCGGAACAAACGGUGGAGCGGUGAAAUGCGUAGAUAUCGUUUGGAACGCCAAUGGUGAAAACAGCUAGCUGGGGAUGUGCCGACGCUGAGACACGAAAGCCAGGGGAGCGAACGGG
rnacentral:rRNA from 1 species